rnacentral:tRNA from 1 species
CCCUGGGUGGCUCAGCGGUUUAGCGCCUGCCUUUGACCCAGGGCACAAUCCUGGAGUCCCGGGAUCAAGUCCCGGGUCAGGGU